AGAGUUUGAUCAUGGCUCAGAUCGAACGCUGGCGGCGUGGCUAAAACAUGCAAGUCGAACGCGAAAGUUCCCUUCGGGGAGCGAGUAGAGUGGCGGCAGGGCGAGUAAUGCAUGGGUAACGUACCUUGUGCUUGGGGACAGCUGCGGGAAACUGCAGGUAAUACCCGAUAAGACCACAGCAUCGUAUGGUGCAGUGGUCAAAGGUGGGGAUCUCUUCGGAGACCUAUCGGCACUUGAGCGGCCCAUGUCCUAUCAGCUAGUUGGUGAGGUAACGGCUCACCAAGGCAUCGACGGGUACCGGGACUGAGAGGUUGAUCCGGCGCAUUGGGACUGAGACACUGCCCAGACUCCUACGGGAGGCUGCAGUAACGAAUAUUCCGCAAUGGACGAAAGUCUGACGGAGCGACGCCGCGUGCGGGAAUAAGCCCUUCGGGGUGUAAACCGCUGUCAGGGACCACCAAGCAAUGAGGGUUAAUACCCUUCGGCGUUGAGGAAUCCCAAAGGAAGCCACGGCUAACUUCGUGCCAGCAGCCGCGGUAAUACGAAGGUGGCAAGCGUUGUUCGGAAUCAUUGGGCUUAAAGCGUAUGUAGGCGGCCUGUCAAGCGUCAUGUGAAAUCCCUCGGCUCAACCGAGGAAUUGCUUGGCGAACUGGCAGGCUUGAGGCAGGUAGGGGUGUGUGGAACUCUUGGUGGAGCGGUGGAAUGCGUAGAUAUCUGGAGGAACAUCAGUGGCGAAGGCGACUUCCUGGACUAACAUUGACGCUGAGGCGCGAAAGCGUGGGGAGCAAACAGGAUUAGAUACCCUGGUAGUCCACGCCGUAAACGAUGUCAACUAGACGUUGGGGGGUUUAACCCUUUAGUGUCGCAGCUAACGCAUUAAGUUGACCGCCUGGGGAGUACGGCCGCAAGGUUAAAACUCAAAGGAAUUGACGG
rnacentral:rRNA from 1 species